GUGUCUUUCACUGUCUAUCAUUAUUUAGUCAGUAUGGAGCUCAGUCAACUUCCUCUUGUGCUCUUGCUGAUUUCAGUCAUUCACUCUGGACAAACUGAAGGAACACGCAUUCAGUUCUGUUACUGAGUCUGACGCAGGUAAAUACUCCUGUAAAGGAUCAGAGACAGAAGGAUCACGCUGGUCACAAAUGAGUGAUGCAGUUACACUGACAGUAU